AAACAACGAAGAGUUUGAUCCUGGCUCAGGAUGAACGCUAGCGACAGGCCUAACACAUGCAAGUCGAGGGGCAUCGGGGCGAGGAGCAAUCCUUGCCGCCGGCGACCGGCGCACGGGUGAGUAACGCGUAUGCGACCUGCCCGUUGCAGGGGGAUAAUCGGGAGAAAUCCCGUCUAAUACCGCGUAACGCCGCGGGGCUGCAUGGCCCUGCGGCCAAAGGAAGCGAUUCCGGCAACGGAUGGGCAUGCGUGACAUUAGCUAGUUGGCGGGGCAACGGCCCACCAAGGCGACGAUGUCUAGGGGUUCUGAGAGGAAGGUCCCCCACACUGGUACUGAGACACGGACCAGACUCCUACGGGAGGCAGCAGUGAGGAAUAUUGGUCAAUGGGCGCGAGCCUGAACCAGCCAAGUCGCGUGAGGGAUGACGGCCCUACGGGUUGUAAACCUCUUUUGUCGGGGAGCAAAUUCCGCCACGUGUGGCGGAGUCGAGAGUACCCGAAGAAAAAGCAUCGGCUAACUCCGUGCCAGCAGCCGCGGUAAUACGGAGGAUGCGAGCGUUAUCCGGAUUUAUUGGGUUUAAAGGGUGCGUAGGCGGACUGUCAAGUCAGCGGUAAAAUACGGGGGCUCAACCUCCGCCCGCCGUUGAAACUGACGGUCUUGAGUGGGCGAGAAGUAUGCGGAAUGCGUGGUGUAGCGGUGAAAUGCAUAGAUAUCACGCAGAACUCCGAUUGCGAAGGCAGCAUACCGGCGCCCAACUGACGCUGAAGCACGAAAGCGUGGGUAUCGAACAGGAUUAGAUACCCUGGUAGUCCACGCAGUAAACGAUGAAUACUAGCUGUCCGGGGCGAAUGAGCCCUGGGUGGCACAGCGAAAGCGUUAAGUAUUCCACCUGGGGAGUACGCCGGCAACGGUGAAACUCAAAGGAAUUGACGGGGGCCCGCACAAGCGGAGGAACAUGUGGUUUAAUUCGAUGAUACGCGAGGAACCUUACCCGGGCUCAAACGACACAGGAACGUACCUGAAAGGGUUCGGCUCUACGGAGCCUGUGUCGAGGUGCUGCAUGGUUGUCGUCAGCUCGUGCCGUGAGGUGUCGGCUUAAGUGCCAUAACGAGCGCAACCCCCAUCGACAGUUGCUAACAGGUCAGGCUGAGGACUCUGUCGAGACUGCCGGCGCAAGCUGCGAGGAAGGCGGGGAUGACGUCAAAUCAGCACGGCCCUUACGUCCGGGGCGACACACGUGUUACAAUGGCAGGUACAGCGGGAAGCCACCUGGCGACAGGGAGCGGAACCCGAAAGCCUGUCUCAGUUCGGAUUGGAGUCUGCAACCCGACUCCAUGAAGCUGGAUUCGCUAGUAAUCGCGCAUCAGCCACGGCGCGGUGAAUACGUUCCCGGGCCUUGUACACACCGCCCGUCAAGCCAUGGAAGCCGGGGGUGCCUGAAGUGCGCUGCCGCGAGGAGCGCCCUAGGGUAAAACCGGUGACUGGGGCUAAGUCGUAACAAGGUAGCCGUACCGGAAGGUGCGGCUGGAACACCUCCUUUCU
rnacentral:rRNA from 2 species